CGCGGGGUGGAGCAGCCCGGUAGCUCGUCAAGCUCAUAACCUGAAGGUCGCAGGUUCAAAUCCUGCUCCCGCACCCA
rnacentral:tRNA from 1 species